CCAGUAGUGCAAUGGAUUGCAAGUUGGACUUCCAAUCCAAAGGUCAUGGGUUCGAAUCCCAAUGGGAUGGC